CCCCGCCGCCGAGGUUGGACCCACCGCAUCAACCCGCCCAGUGAGCACCCGACUCUCUUUUCCCCAGCGACCGACGACUUUUCGCUCUAGGAAGGGGCUUUGAGAGAUGAAGAGGAAGCCACUCUUGCUAUGUCCAAAGCAAUGGAAAACGGCAAGUACAAUAAUCAGGAGCCAAGUCCCAUUGAGUUUUUCAAAGAGACCCAUACUAACAGCAUGAGCGAGCCGACACAUCUAGCUUAUAAUGCAAUGGAAAAGAAAAGGGAAACACAAUCAGAAGUGACAACCAGUGUUUGUUUCAAUGAUUGUGGCUGAAGUUCUAAAGGAAGAAAAUGCCCAUA